UUAUAUGUAUGAAUAACAAAAUAUGUUUUUUAAUAUUUUCUUUCUUUUUUCUUUUUUUUUUCUUUAGUGUCUAGCUUUUGUUUAAAUUUGGUUGAACCUACUGUUGAGAUAUGGUUUUAAUUUGGUAAAUUUUAAUGAUUUGAAAUUUACUGUAUCGAUCAUUAGCCAAUAGUUUAAAAAGUAAACUGAGUUCAUCAUAAUUAAGACAUUGGAGCCUGAAAGAGAACUAUCAGGAAUUUAAAGUGCUUGAAAAGGAAUUUAAAGUGUUUCCAGCGUUUGUUAUUGAGCUAAUUAGAAAAAUACACUUAUGCUAGAUUUA